rnacentral:lncRNA from 1 species
CUCAUUUAGUAAGUUAUUUUGCCACGCAAGCUCGACUUUAUGACGUCAGACUUGACACCAUGGUAUGGCCAAAUUUCUUACCAAACAAUUUAUAUUUAUAGUAGUAGCAAAUGCUACAAAUUUUAACUUUUAUUUGUGUAAUAAAUAAUAUGUUCAUAUUGAAGGCCGAUCGACACCCUUGAGAAUGUAGUGGUUGUUUCGAUUGUAAACUUGUUUUUUGUCAUCCUGUUGGCCCCAUUUUAUGCGUUUUAUUAUAAAUUUACAGUUACUAUAAGCACCAUGGGAUGAAUACUGAAUCAUUGGGGUUGGCAUUAACUAGCAAGUGUUUUAGCAAUAUCUUAUUAACCAUUUCAGUGCGGGACCAAUUUGUGAUAUUUAUAGAAAUCAUUGGUAGGACAUUCAAAAUUCUCAUGUGUUUGGUCGGCGGAGCUUUUGCUCAAAGAAACACAACGCAUCUCAAAGUCAUCUAGUCAACUGUGUAUAUAUUUUCUACUUGAAUUAAAAAUGAACCCGUAUCGACUCAGGAAGUUGCGGAACACAUGAGUAUUGAGUUAUGGCAACUAUCAGGUCUUGUUAAUGUCAGAUUUUCAAUGGUUCAGAAAUGUAAAUUUAGUAAACUAGUUAAUCUAACAUAAUUAUAAAUUAUUUUUUUUGUAAAUAAUAAAGUACCAUACAAUU